AUAAUAAUUAUUUUGAUGUGUGUAUGAUGUUUGAGUUAUGUUGAUGAGUUGUCGUGUUCAUGCAUCAUACUAGUAUGGAGAUUAGGUAGGACUUCCGUCCAAUGACGUAGGACCUCAGCCCAAUGAUGUGAGACUUUUGUGUCGGAGUGACGUAGGACUUGGGUCCAGUGGUGUUAGGAUUGUUGUCUAGUGAUGUGGGAUAAUAUCAAUAACACACCUCUGAUACCAAAUAAAAAACUUGAUACUACAUACAUUUUGAUGAGGCAUUGGUGCAUUAGCA
rnacentral:lncRNA from 1 species